rnacentral:rRNA from 1 species
GUUGGUGACAGCGGAGGGAUCAUUAAAGAGUUCUAUAACUCCCAAACCCAUGUGAACAUACCUAACGUUGCCUCGGCAGGUCGCACCUACCUUGUAGCACCCUACCCUGUAGGGCCUACCCGGGAGAUGCGGGUAAGCCUGCCGGCGGCCCACCAAACUCUGUUUGAUAUUGAAUUCUGAACAUAUAACUAAAUAAGUUAAAACUUUCAACAACGGAUCUCUUGGUUCUGGCAUCGAUGAAGAACGCAGCGAAAUGCGAUAAGUAAUGUGAAUUGCAGAAUUCAGUGAAUCAUCGAAUCUUUGAACGCAUAUUGCGCCCAUUAGUAUUCUAGUGGGCAGGACCGUUCGAGCGUCAUUUCGACCCUUAAGCCUUAGUUGCUUAGUGUUGGGAGCCUACGGCAACGUAGCUCCUCAAAGUUAGUGGCGGAGUUGGUUCACACUCUAGACGUAGUAAUUUUUUAUCUCGCCUAUUAGUUGGACUGAUCCCCUGCCGUAAAACCCCCAACUUAUCAAGGUUGACCUCGAAUCGGUUCAGACAAACUCGCUAAAUUGAAGCAUCUUAGUCAGCGAAGGAAAAGAAACCAACAGGGAUUGCCCUAGUAACGGCGAGUGAAGCGGCAACAGCUCAAAUUUGAAAUCUGGCCCUC